rnacentral:tRNA from 1 species
UCGGGAUAGCUCAGUUGGUAGAGCAGAGGACUGAAAAUCCUCGUGCCC